rnacentral:rRNA from 1 species
GAUGAACGCUGGCGGCGUGCCUAAUACAUGCAAGUCGAGCGAACGGACGAGAAGCUUGCAUCUCUGAUGUUAGCGGCGGACGGGUGAGUAACACGUGGAUAACCUACCUAUAAGACUGGGAUAACUUCGGGAAACCGUAGCUAAUACCGGAUAAUAUCUUGAACCGCAUGGUUCAAAAGUGAAAGACGGUCUUGCUGUCACUUAUAGAUGGAUCCGCGCUGCAUUAGCUAGUUGGUAAGGUAACGGCUUACCAAGGCAACGAUGCAUAGCCGACCUGAGAGGGUGAUCGGCCACACUGGAACUGAGACACGCUCCAGACUCCUACGGGAGGCAGCAGUAGGGAAUCUUCCGCAAUGGGCGAAAGCCUGACGGAGCAACGCCGCGUGAGUGAUGAAGGUCUUCGGAUCGUAAAACUCUGUUAUUAGGGAGGAACAUAUGUGUAAUUAACUGUGCACAUCUUGACGGUACCUACUCAGAAAGCCACGGCUAACUACGUG